CUGAGUUGCUCAUCUUUACCUUUGCCAAGCCAGCCUGGUUGGUGGGCCUCCCUUCUGCUAUCAUGUCACCACUGCACGGACCAGGGCUGGACGGAACGAUGCUGAUGAGCAUCCCGAAUACAUCAUUGACGAGGACGGCCUGUGCAAAGGGAUGCAUCUUGCCAAGUCCCCUCAAAGUGGGUCAUCACUUUGCCACUCGGUUGGACCACUAAUUUUGCCUUAUAAUGAACCAUAACAGUGAAAUGCAUCCAAAAGAAUGAAUAACCAGCUGCUGACUGAACAUUUAAAGUGACAUACAAUUAUUUUCUUCUGAGAAACUACUGGCAGUUCACAUAAUGGAUUUUCAAAGCCUUAUGUGGCCUAAGAUUACACUGAAUAGCUGACCAAUUCUGAACCUUCAUGCCUGGUGAACUAGCUGCUACUUUGUUUGAAAGUCAAAUGCAACAUGUCCUGAACAACCAACCUAAUUUAGUACCAAGUCUUCUAAGCUGAGACCUUGGAAGUGGACGCAGCCUGAAAUCCAAAUCCCAGAAGCGGAUGUGAAACAAUGACAGCAUUCAAUUUUUCUUAGUUUCAUUGAGAGACCUAAGAGUGGCACUGUGACUUGGGUAGCUAACCCAAACACAGGGUUGCCAAGCUGCUCAUCCAGCUGUGGUAAGAGCUGGUAUUCUAUUAAGUGCAUCACUAACCCAUCCAUAUGGGUAACACCCUGGCCAGAGUGGAAUGUCAAUCCCAGAUACAUCAUCUCCAAAAAGGUGUCAGUGCAGAGGAUGGUUCAUUGUUGAAAAGCUGAUCCAAUGAUCCUGAAUCACCACUCACUGGAGGCUGGCAUUACAAUAUUGAAAAUUGCAGAAAACAAGUGUUUUUUGUUGUUGUUUUUUUAAAGGGCUUCCAUACUGGAGAGAACUUUCAAACAGAUCAAAUCUAACUGUAAACCUUCCCCUUUUCAUUAUCUUUUUACUCAGCCACGUGAGUAUGAUUCAAGAAGGCUUUAGCUCAGGUUUUCUCUCCCACAGGCUGCCUUUUGUUCUUCUUGUUUGACCCUGAAAGCGACAUCAUGCUGCUGAAUUUUUCACAUCACAAUCAUUUCCCAGAUGUGAAGAUUAUUAAUUCCGUGCAGGAUUUCAGGUGAGAUGGGCUGUGAAAAUGCUACAUUGCCAGAGGGUGGACAGAUACUAGAGCAGACAACCAACCAGUAGAGUCCCCUAUCUAAUCUGGAGGCCCAGUCGCAUGCACAAAUACAAGGUAAAAAAUUAUGCACAUGACAGGGAAUGCAGAAGACCCUAAUCCUGCAUUAAUAAGAGCACUGUGGUGUGUUUGCCAGGUUUCCCCUGCCUUGUAGUAAGAUCCUAAGAUGGGAGUGUAUAACUCAGUAUAUCACUUGUACUUAAGAGACUUGCAUUUAAGCCCAUAGCUCCUCCACACCCUGCAUGUUAUAUAUUCUGCAUUCUUGAGACUAAGGGAGUGGGCUUGGGAUUUAAUUCCAGUGAGUAUGAACGACUAUGCACAUCAGAUCACCCUACUUGUGCUCAUGCAUAGCCUCCACUUACACUUGUGCUGCAGCCCAACAACUCUGCACAACCUGUAAGGACUUGGAGGACCGAGGCCUUUGUGUUACCACAGCUAAGACUCAGACUUGGACUCUGGUGUGGGUCUGUAUGGAGCAGCUAUAUGAAAUAAUCCAGAAUAAUUCAUUUUACCCUUGCCUGUGCUGGUAGAAGCUGGAAUGAGAUAGUCUCCUCUGGAAGUCACCCCACACUGGCCUUGCAUUCUGCUGGGAGUCACAUAUCUCUAGCUGAACAGGAAGGAGCUGUGUUAAACGGGUCUUUAUUGGAGAUCACCUUCCUGGUUGAGCUAUUAGGUGCUGUGCUGAACUCUAUCAGCUUGCUGGUAAGAAUUCUAUAUAGCUUGUCUCAGCUGGGAGUCGCCCUCUGCAGAUCUUAUACAGUAAUGGAGAAACUCCUUAUUAAAAAGUAAUUAUUUUCAGUAAUACCAAAGGAAAAACCUCUGGCCUGGCAAAAUUUCUAGAGUGGUUUUUCAACCCUGAGAUAGGGCUAAAAUCUAUAACUCUAAACUUGCAGAUUCAUCUGCUAUUGCCUUGUAAAAGUCCCAAGGAACAGCGAAGAACAGUAACACCAAGCUUUCAUAUAGCCUUUUUUCAACAGUAGAUCACAAAGUGCUUUAUGAAGUAAGGUCAUUAUCAUUAUCCCCAUUUUACAAAUGGGGAAACUGAGGCUCAGGGAGGGAAACUGACUUG